GAGGGUAUAGCUCAGUGGUAGAGUGUGUGCUUAGCAGGCAUAAGGUCCUGGGUUCAAUCCCCAGUAACUCUA
rnacentral:tRNA from 1 species